GUUUGUUCGGCAGGACAUAUACUAAAAUUGGAACCAUACAGAGAACAUUAGCAUGGCCCUGUGCAAGGAUGACACGCAAAUUCGUGAAACGUUCCAUAUUUUU
rnacentral:snRNA from 1 species